UGAAUAUAUCCAUUCACUCAUAUAAUCGCGGGGAUAAGGCCUGCAAGUUUCUACCAGUGUACCGUAAAUAUACUGACUAUGGGUGAGC
rnacentral:ncRNA from 1 species